ACAUCGGUAGUGUACUGGAUCAGCACAGCAGACUCGAUAUCUGUAAGUGCGGGUUCGAGUCCCGCCUUAGGUU
rnacentral:tRNA from 1 species